GGCUGCGGAGCCCGGCGGGGCUGCCCUGGGGUCGGAACGGCUUCUGGCCCCGGGCUGCCCUCGCUGCCCCUUGCUUCUCCACUCGGGCCCUUGGGGCAGGUGAUCGAAUGCUGUAGUUGCCCGGGUGGAAUGAGGCGCUGGCUGGAAGUAAGCGGUCGUGAGAACAUGGCGGUUCCCUGAGGUGCCCCUGUCAGCCCUGACCACCGGAGUGCGGGGGUUGAUUCUUGGAUUGUAAAACACUGAUGAUCAAUCUGUGAAAUGAAGGAGAAUUGUGAUUACAGCCCUUCAAGCAGUCCUGUAACCUUCAAGUAGCUCUUAACUAGCAAGAUAACUGUAUAAGUUAUGGUGGCUAUUCUAUGUUUUGGGUCGGUCUGCACUCAUAACUUUGAAAGCAAGUUAAAUCAAUACUGCUGGUGCAGCUGUAACUUUCCAGAAACUCGCCAAACUCAUAUCAUUUGAGAAAUGGCUUUCAACUUUGCUGCAUGAUUAAAUCUAGACACCUAAAAAUCUGUAAAGAUGUAGUAAAGAUAGAGACCUCUGUGUAGUGUAAGUCUACUAACAACACUUUCAGGUCGUGGUGGUUUUGAUUAACUUCUUAAGAGUUGAGUCACGGCCCUAUGUUCUGUCUACCACAAGCUGAAACCACUGCCGGGAGGAAUACUUAUUACAGAAAUAAGUUAAGUACAUGCUUGUGUAAUUUUCCAUGUAUUGAGCUGUUUGGUUUUUGUUUGGUUGUUUUUCGUCUCAGAUUGUAAGGGAAAACAUUUUUACAUAAGACAGUAGAUGUUCAGAAGGAGAAUACAUGUUGAGACAAUUCAGUAGUUAUGGCAAAGGAUAAGAAGAAAGAUGGCAAGAAGGCAGAAAAGUCUUCACGCCCUCCUAUUCCUUCACAAGAAGUUACAGCUGAGAGCAGUGCUACAAAGCUGACAGAUUUGCCGACCUUGGUGAAUGAAGAGGAAGAAACAGGGGCAAGUCCAGUGAUACAGGAUAAAGAACCAGAGGAGGCAGAGGAACCUCCAGUCCAAGAUGUUCCUCAAUACUACGAGGAGCCUGUUCUUAUUCAACUUAUUGUAAAAAGCUAUGAAGGUGAAAAAGUCCAUGGAUUGUAUGAGGGUAAAGGAUUUGCAUGUUUUGAGGGAGGAAAUACAUACAAGGGCAUGUUUUCUGAAGGCCUUAUGCAUGGACAAGGGACUUACACAUGGGCUGAUGGAGUGAAGUACGAGGGAACAUUUGUUAAGAACGUGCAGAUGUUUAAUGGCCGUUAUACAUGGAAUGAUGGCAGCAUUUAUGAAGGAUCAAUCAAGGAUGGAGUUAGGCAUGGAUUUGGAUUUUUCCGGAGCGGUACUCAUCCUAUUUCUUACAUUGGCUAUUGGUGUAAAGGCAAAAGACAUGGAAAGGGUACCAUUUAUUAUGACCAGGAACAUACCUCUUGGUAUUCAGGUGACUGGGUAAAUGAUGUCAAAGAAGGAUGGGGAAUGAGAUGCUAUAAGUCUGGAAAUAUCUAUGAAGGUCAGUGGGAGAAAAAUGUACGGCAUGGAAAAGGAAGAAUGAGAUGGUUGACAGCUAAUCAAGAGUAUAUGGGACAGUGGGUGCAUGGCAUACAGCAUGGGUAUGGCAGCCACAUCUGGUUUUUGAAGAGAAUGCCUGUGUCUCAGUAUCCUUUAAGGAAUGAAUACAUAGGUGAUUUUGUAAAUGGGGAACGCCAUGGACACGGGAAGUUCAUAUAUGCCAGUGGAGCAGUGUAUGAUGGUGAAUGGGUUUGUAAUAAGAAGCAUGGCAAGGGCAAGUUUGUCUUCAAGAACGGUCGUGUUUAUGAAGGAGAGUUCAUAGAUGAUAACAUGGUGGAAUAUCCUGCUUUUCUAGUGAAUGCAAUGAAUGUGAAAGGGCUGAAUUCCAUUUGCACAGAAAGUCAUUUUGGCACUGAAAACACCACAAUCAUCAGUGGCUCAGAAGAUACUUCUCUUCUGGAAUUCAGUACUGAGUUGGAUAUAUCUUUACUGCUUGACUUGUUGCCAGAGGAAGAGAGAUGGGAAGAACUGAAACAAGUAGAAUUUGCCGUGUUGAGGCAUAUUACAGAACUGAGAAGAAUUUACACCUUCUACAGUAGCUUAGGCUGUGAUCAUUCUUUUGACAACACCUUCCUCAUGACGAAGCUCCAAUUUUGGAGGUUUCUGAAGGACUGCCAGUUUCAUCACUCCAACAUAAGUCUUGCUGAAAUGGAUCGGAUAUUGAGUGGUAAGAAAACACCAGUUGAGGAGAUACAUUGUCCACAUGAGACUUUACUAUUCAGAACGUUUUUAUCUUACCUUAUUCGCCUAGCAUUUCAUAUCUAUCGUGAAGAACACAAAGAGAACAGUCCUUAUCUGAGUAAGUGUUUCUUAGAAACGAUGUCCAGGAACGUUAUUCCCUCUGCCUGUUAUGUCCAAGGUAUCUUAUUUUCUGGAGAAAGAUGUACAGUUUUGGUCAUGAGCAGCUACAUUGACAAAUGCUGGGAAAUAUACAGAGCCUUUUGUAGACCAAGCACCAGACCUCCAUUUGAGCUCACAAUGAAAAUGAGGCACUUCCUUUGGAUGUUGAACGAUUUUAAACUUCUCAGCAAACAAUUAACUCCUUCAAGACUUGUGGAAAUACUUGUCAAAGAUGGUCCCUCUCUGCCUGGUAGCAGUAACACCAACCUGGAGCUGGAGUUAGUUUUUCUGGAAUUUCUCGAAGCUCUUCUUGCCUGUGCGUUGGUGUAUGUUACCAGUGAUAUGAUUAAGGAGCAAGAAGCUCAUGAGAAUGAGAGCAGAAGUAGCUUUAGAAUGGAGGUUCUCUCCAAGAAAACCACAUAUGUAUCUCUAUUCCCAGACUAUUCUCCAUCCCAGUGCACGUACAAUGGAACUGUAUUUGGUACAGACACGAAUGAUGACAUUUCUGAGGCACCUGAGCUUUACUCAUUAUUGUCUUCAAACAAAAGUUUCAUAUCACAGGAUGAAUUAAAGAAACAUGAGAGGCCUUCUGAAGACACAGAGCAUCCUCUUCAGGAAUUUCUGAUGGACAGGAGAUUGCAGUCUGCACUGUCUCUUUAUUCAAAACAAAUUUUUCCUCAGUACGGAAGUAUUUCAAGCAUGGAUCUAGCUGUAAGUACGAGAUACUACCCUUUCAUUUCACACAACUCAUGGAGAUACCGUUGUUCCAUCAAUAGUUCCAUCAUCGUUGAGCUGGGAUGCAGAAAAAGAACAAAAUACCUGUCCAACAAAGGAAUUGACAGGUGAAUCAAAAGAAGCCAGAACUGAACAAGAUGAGCUUAGUCUACUGAUGUGUCAGGUGCAGAUCUUCUUUACAACUAAGCUCUUUCCUGCUUACCAGCAUGAAAAAGUGCUGUGGGAAAAAAUAAAAGAAAAUAGAAUACGAGAUGCUGAAUUAGCUGAGCUGAGAAAGAUCAAGGAUGAGGAGCUGGCAAAAAUUAUUGCUGGAAGAGAAGAGGCAAAAAAGCAAGAAGCAGCUGCAGCACCAAACCCAUCUGACCCCAAGAGUUCAGAUUUUAAGGAGUCAGAGGAGCCUGGCACAACAUUAGCACCUGCUUUGAAGGAAGAGGCACCCAGAGCAGUAUCCCCAGUUACCAAGGUGCCUGCUGGCAAAAAGAGAAGGAAGAAAUAAAUCAUCUGAUGAGACGUACUGAAGCUUGGAAGGUCAAGUUUUAGACUGCAUCAACUGCUGUGUGGCGGUCUAGAAUGAACUGUGUGUGGAAUAUGUACUCAUAACACAUGUACUCAUCCUUGAGGGAAGCAGCAGUAGAUGGUGACAGUAAACAAGAGCUACCUUC